UACGUAGGUGGCAAGCGUUGUCCGGAAUUACUGGGCGUAAAGGGCGCGUAGGCGGUCAGGUCAGUCCCGUGUGAAAUCCCUCGGCUCAACUGAGGAACUGCACGGGAAACUGCCUGGCUUGAGUUCGGGAGAGGGAAGCGGAAUUCCGGGUGUAGCGGUGAAAUGCGUAGAUAUCCGGAGGAACACCGGUGGCGAAGGCGGCUUCCUGGACCGACACUGACGCUGAGGUGCGAAAGCGUGGGGAGCAAACAGG
rnacentral:rRNA from 1 species